AUUGAACGCUGGCGGCAGGCCUAACACAUGCAAGUCGAGCGGGGACUUCGGUCCUAGCGGCGAACGGGUGAGUAAUGCUUGGGAGUCUGCCCAGUAGUGGGGGAUAACGUCCCGAAAGGGACGCUAAUACCGCAUACGUCCUACGGGAGAAAGAGGGGGAUCUUCGGACCUCUCGCUAUUGGAUGAGCCCAAGUCGGAUUAGCUAGUUGGUAGGGUAAUGGCCUACCAAGGCGACGAUCCGUAGCUGGUCUGAGAGGAUGAUCAGCCACACUGGAACUGAGACACGGUCCAGACUCCUACGGGAGGCAGCAGUGGGGAAUAUUGGACAAUGGGCGAAAGCCUGAUCCAGCCAUGCCGCGUGUGUGAAGAAGGCCUUCGGGUUGUAAAGCACUUUAAGCGGGGAGGAAGGUUCGCGGCCUAAUACGUCGCGGAAUUGACGUUACCCGCAGAAUAAGCACCGGCUAACUCUGUG
rnacentral:rRNA from 1 species